rnacentral:rRNA from 1 species
GAUGAACGCUAGCUACAGGCUUAACACAUGCAAGUCGAGGGGAAACGGCAUCGAAAGCUUGCUUUUGAUGGGCGUCGACCGGCGCACGGGUGAGUAACGCGUAUCCAACCUGCCCAUCACUUGGGAAUAACCUUGCGAAAGUAAGACUAAUGCCCAAUGACAUCCCACGAAGGCAUCCGAAUGGGAUUAAAGAUUUAUCGGUGAUGGAUGGGGAUGCGUCUGAUUAGCUUGAUGGCGGGGUGACGGCCCACCAAGGCAACGAUCAGUAGGGGUUCUGAGAGGAAGGUCCCCCACAUUGGAACUGAGACACGGUCCAAACUCCUACGGGAGGCAGCAGUGAGGAAUAUUGGUCAAUGGGCGAGAGCCUGAACCAGCCAAGUAGCGUGCAGGAUGACGGCCCUAUGGGUUGUAAACUGCUUUUAUAAGGGAAUAAAGUGGGUCACGUGUGACUUUUUGCAUGUACCUUAUGAAUAAGGACCGGCUAAUUCCGUG